GCGAGUAAGACCCUGCCCUAGUGGCUCGGUCAGUCCCAUCAUAUACACCUUUAUUCGUGAACUCGUGGUUCAGCUGGACGAUGAAAGCUUUGGCGGCUAGCCGUCCGUCGGUUCCGCUCUUUAUACCCUUUAUGUGAAGUCAAUGGAAAUUAUGAUAAUCUAAUA
rnacentral:misc_RNA from 1 species